rnacentral:rRNA from 1 species
UUUUGCAUCGAUGAAGAACGCAGCGAAAUGCGAUAAGUAAUGUGAAUUGCAGAAUGAAAUGAAUCAUCGAAUCUAUGAACGCACCUUGCGCUCCUUGGUAUUCCGAGGAGCAUGCCUGUUUGAGCGUCAUGA